AUCCUUUUGUAGUCCACAAGCAUGACGAUUGGGGGUUCACACUUUUGCAUGACAUGUGCCUCCCUCAAACCUUGUUACGAUGCUGGCAUGUUACCUGUCUUGACU